rnacentral:lncRNA from 1 species
UUUCUGCAGAGGCAAGCUGCCCAGCUCCUGGCACAGAGACUCGGUCGGGCCUGUUUCUGCCAGUGGAGGAAGCAGCUGGCAGUCAGGAAGCAAGAACAGUGGGGCACAGCCAGGGCCCUGUGGUUCUGGGCCUUCUCCCUACAGGCAAAGGUGUGGGCUGCAUGGCUGGGCUUCGUACUUGAGAAGAGGAGGAAGAAGGCACGGCUGGAGCAGGCUAUGCAAGCCUACCACCAGCAGCUCCUGCAGGAGGGGGCCACGCGGCUUCUGCGCUUCACGGCUGGCAUGAAGGCGCUCCGGCAACAGCUCCAGGCCCAGCAGCAGGUCCAGGCAGCCCACAGCCUCCACUGUGCAGUCCGCCACUGUGCUGAGCUCUGGAAGAAGAAGGUACUCGGUCCAGACAAGACUUCUCAACCUCCAGCACCCAUCGCAUUCAGCAGAAGAGUGACGUUUAAGGAUUUCUCUCUCUCUGGACUUGCUGCUGAGGCUGGAGAUGCUCCCCUGUCUCAGGGCGUCCUGGGAAGUUUGGCAGUAGCUGCUGGAGAGCCCUUCAUCCCAGAACUGUGAGUGGCCUGUGGCUCACCUCUGCCUCUAGUCCUAGAGCAGACCAGAGGAACAGUGGGAAGGGCAAGAUGAGAGCUGCUCAGGGCCCUCUGUCAGGCCACUCUUCCCUAGACACUGGGGAGUCAGAGGAAUUUCACGAUUUGUCCUUUCCCAAGCUCCACUUUUUGUGGGUACCUGAUCUUCUCUCCACCUCCUUGGAUGGCUUCUCUCAGCCCUGUGCACACCACCCUUGAGGGGUAGUUGUCAUUCCCAGAGUAACCAGCACUGAGUCUCAGAACUCAUGGUGGGUAGAGUGCUCUGUCCCCUCACCCCUAACCUUGGCAGUACCCUGACCAUCUCGAGGGUCUCGAUAGGAAAGAACACGUCGUCCGCUUGCUGUGAAGGAAGAAGAAACAGGUACAGCUCUAGCGUCCAGGAAUCCAGCGGACUGCAAGGGUUAUGGUGAGGUGUCCUGGCUCAGACCUACCCUGUGCACACGCUGGCUUUCAGUCUCCCUGUAAAGUGCCAAGGACUGAACCUUAGAAAGAUCUCAGGUCCUCCUGCAGACCUUGUCAGUCCAAGGAACAGACGAUUUCUCUCCAGCAAUGAGGCCCGCCCAUCACGGAAACAGCCUCGACGUCCGUCCUUCCUGCUGGAGCGUGUGCAGAGCCAGAGGUCCCCAGAGCGGUGCACCCUCGGGGAGCAGCA